rnacentral:rRNA from 1 species
CCUACGGGCGGCAGCAGUAGGGAAUAUUGCUCAAUGGGGGAAACCCUGAAGCAGCAACGCCGCGUGGAGGAUGAAGGUUUUAGGAGUUUAAACUCCUUUUGUUAGAGAAGAUUUUGACGGUAUCUAACGAAUAAGCACCGUCUAACUCCGGGCCAGAAGCCGCGGUAAGGCGGAGGGUUCCAGCGUUACGCGGAAUCACUGGGCGUAAAGAGUGCGUAGGCGGGGUAAUAAGUCAGAUGUGAAAUCCUGUAGCUUAACUAUAGAACUGCAUUUGAAACUGUUACUCUGGAGUGUGGGAGAGGUAGGUGGAAUAAGUGGUGUAGGGGUAAAAUCCGUAGAGAUCAAGAAGAAUACUCAUUGCGAAGGCGACCUGCUGGAACAUUACUGACGCUGAUGCACGAGAGCGUGGGGAGCAAACAGGAUUAGAUACCCCGGUAGUC